UACUUUUGUAUUUGACCACGUAAGACAAUUGGAUGGGCACCUAAUAUAUUUCCUGGUACACUCCUAUUGUGGUUGGUCUUCUUUAUCUGUAUGUCUAUCUUGUUCAGUCUGCGCUUCAGCUUUGCAGGAAAAUAGAAAUUUUUUUUUCUGUGCUUGUUUAUGCUAACCAUGGUGCCUACAACUGCAUCUGCUGCCUUUACACGGGACUGCAAACCUGUUUUUUUCAACCUUCUGUUUUAUGGGUGUGCACACCCAUAAAUCUCCUGUGGCUGGGUUAAGGGAACAUACAAGCAGCUCUUCAGCAUUAAGAAUGUGAUGGGAGAGAUUCAGGUAGAUUUGAACUGCCAUCAUCAAUCAAGACCAAGGAGAAGGCUGCUUUCCAGGAUGUACACAUGGCCUCUGUUUGCUGUUGCUGUUUUGCUUCUUUUAAGAGGUGAACCAAUAUAUGUAUGUCUGUUUCUACUGUCACUUGCAGCUCAACAGAACCCUGUAAUAUACAUGAACAAGUUUCUGGAAGUUAAGAGAUUACCCCAUAACAUCUUCCCCUGCCCCCAGUACAAGAAGCAUAGAAGUCUCCAAUGAAACUCAACCCAAAGAGGUGUUCACCAAGACACAUAAUAAUCAAAACAAACAAAAAAAAAACAAAGAAAAAAAUCUGAGGACAGCAGGAAAUGAAAUACACAUCACAUACAAAAGAGUGUCAAUAUAACUAUCAGCAGAAACUCUGCAGGCCAGUUGACAAUGGAAUCAUAUAUUAAAAGAGCUCAAGGGGGAAAAAAACCCUGACAAACAAGAAUACUUUAUGCAGCAAAUCUGUAUUUCAGAAAUAAGGAAGAAAUAAAAAUGUUACCAGACAAAUAAAAGCUAAGGAAGAUCAUCACCACCAGACCUACCUUACAGAAAUAACUAAAGAAAAUUCUUUAAGCUGAAAAAAGGCUGCUAAUUAAUAACAUAAGACAUACAAAAGCAUGAAACUCAAAGAUGUAAGUCAUAUAGAGACACAUUCAUAAUACUUUAGGAUUGUAAUGAUGGCAUGUAAAGCAAUUUUAUUUCUAGCACAAGGAUUAAAAUAUAAAACUAUGAGUAUCAACUAUAGCUAAAAUAAAUUUUCAAGAGAUGCACAUUACAAAAUGAUGUAAAUUAUGACAUCAAAAACAUAAAAGGGAGCGAUAGUAAAAAUGUAGAGUUUGUUGCAUGCAAUCAAAAUUAAGUUACUAUCUGUUUUACACAGGCUGUUAUAAGUUCUGGGUAAGCCUCAUGGUGACCACAAAGCCAAAAUGUUUAGUAUAAGAACAAAACAAAAACAGAAAAAAUUCAAAGCAUACCACUACAAAAAACCAUCAAGCCACAGAGGAAGAUAGCAAGAGAGAAAGAAACAAAAUAUCUAUACAAUAACCAGAAAAUAAUGAACAGAAUGGCAGUAUUAAGUAGUUACCUAUCAAUAAUUACCUUGAAUGUAAAUGGAUUAAAUUUUCUAAUAAAAAGACAUAGACUGACUAAAUGAAUCAAAAAACAUGAUCCAACUAUUUGCUGCCUGUAAGAGACUCGCCUCACUUUUAGAGACAUACAUAGUCUGAAAGUGAAGGGAAAGAAAAAGAUAUUCCAUAUAAAUGGAAACCAAAAGAAAGCAGGCAUAGCUAUACUUUUAUCAGGCAAAAUAGACUUUAAGUUGAGAAAACUGUAAAUAGAGACAAAAAAGAACAUUAUCUAAUAAUAAAGGGG
rnacentral:lncRNA from 1 species